AGAGCAGGCUACGGUGUGAAUAAGUGGAGACAGUCAGUUGCGUGAGCCAAUCAGAUCUCGAGUCUUUGACACCUAUGCCAGUUAAGAGUCCUCACGCUGCAACGGACAUGUAAGCAUCCUGUGAUUGGAUGAGAUCACGCGAGAGCUUGAAAGACGGCAAUGGCUAAACUAAACCAGAAAACUUAAAAAGAAAAACACAAAACCGGGAAACCUGUUAGCUACUAACACUUAUGGCUUUAUUUGUAAACCACGAGGUCUGAACCAGGAGGCGCUGUGUUUAAGACGGAGCCUUCGUGGAGACCUGGUUCUUUCAAGAAGAGCCUCUCAAUGACAGUUUCUCUGCAUACCAUUAACAACAAGGUGAAUCAAUUCCAAGGAAGAUACCCUUCACCAUUUACUAAAAUCUCUGGGACAUGUUUGGAGUUCAGCGGCUGACAUCUGAAAGCGCAGGUGCAACAAUGAUUUAUACCCGUGUGUGUCACAUUGCUGGAGAAAGAAAACUUGAAGAAACCAAGAUUGGGAUACGUGAUGUCCUCAGGGGAUAAAAUCUGGGGAUGCUCCUCUGAUGAUGAAUUAGACCAAAAAAUUUGGAAUCAUAUUUCACACAAGUGUCAGAAGUUGAGUUUGGUUGAGACUGCUUGCCAUUUUUAAUAAGUAGAGCAUUUUUCUUUCAUUAUUCUAGAGAUGAGAUCACCUGGCGGGUGCAAGUGCAAACUUCUGAAUAAGAUUGCUUAUUGCUAAAAAUAAAUACAAGAACAAGACUGUAGCUAGUUUUCA
rnacentral:lncRNA from 1 species